UACGUAGGGCGCGAGCGUUGUCCGGAUUUAUUGGGCGUAAAGAGCUCGUAGGCGGCUUGUCGCGUCGACUGUGAAAACCCGCGGCUCAACCGUGUGGUCUGCAGUCGAUACGGGCAGGCUAGAGUUCGGUAGGGGAGACUGGAAUUCCUGGUGUAGCGGCGAAAUGCGCAGAUAUCAGGAGGAACACCGGUGGCGAAGGCGGGUCUCUGGGCCGAUACUGACGCUGAGGAGCGAAAGCGUGGGGAGCGAACAGG
rnacentral:rRNA from 1 species